AGAUACUGCCUUCUUCCACAGACAUUUCACAGGCUAAUGGACAGCCAGAGGAUCGCGAGACAGCUGCCAAAGUGAAUGGGAUGACUGGGUCAAUACCUGCAAACUCUCAGCAAGAGGCAGAUAGCACCCACAGCUCUCACAUCACUUCAAACCUGUAUGCUGGUUCUCCUAUCAAAUUAACAAGCCCGGAGAGGAUCAUAGCCCUGCAUCGAGAACUGAGACAAAACCAUUGCAAAACUUACCGGAUACCUUCAGUUGUCUCCUCCAACUCAAAUCCACAGGCUGAUCGCAACUUGCCCACGAUCCAUAAGGAAGCCCCUUGGCCUCUGCUGUCGAGGAUGAAGGAUGCACUGGUGCCUCUGUAGCAUAGUGGCUUCUGGGCCACGAAGGGGAGGGAUCAGUUGUAGAAACGUGAUGAUGUGUUUUGGGGUCAAAUAGGAAAUCAGCAUGCAGGUGCUACUCCCCAGGGAACAAAACAGAAAAAUGCCAUUAUGAAUAAGGCAUGGCUCUCUAGAGAAAAAACAGAUGGCUCAACCUCAGCUACCACAGCAAAAAGCUAUUUGUCAGACGUGUUGUCAGCAAGUAAUAAAGGUCGAAAUCCUGUGGGUAGGAGUCAGCUGCACGGGAAAGAAUAAAACCUGCAGAAAUAAAACAAGGGAUGACUUUGCCAGUUGGAUCAGUCUCCAUUAUUUAACAGUGAGAAGAGGCAGCCUGAUGUUUGAUUCAGAGAGAUGAUGAUGAAUUAAGAUGUUGCAAUAUGACUUUCAAUGUAGAAUACAAGGAAAGAACAUAUCAGUCACACAGAAGAAGCAGUAGAGCUCCCAAGGACUGAUGAAAUGUGCUUUGCCCUGGUGGUGACUGCAGCUGCUACGUCAUGUGAAAAAAAUGAGAAGUUGCCCUAAAUUACCAUCUGCGACGUUUUAGCCACCUCCUGUAGUGGAAGCUGGUCAUGUGGGCCAACCCUCUGUGUGGUUUGAGACUGAGUGUCGUUUUGCUUUCUUGGGAUCUCAGCAUUUGCAUUUUAAAGCAAUUACCAAGUUAAGCACAAUCUCUGUGUUCAUGGGUCUGCCUGCAUGGGCAUGUAGGUAUCUUCAGCCUCGUAUGGUUUUGAGAAUUUCUGAAAGAGCCUUUGAUCUGGGUUGGGAUGUUUAGUAUUUCUGAGGGCACAUACUUGAGGGUACAAACUGUUUAGCAAAUGAGACAGAAUGGCAUUUUUACAAGGGUAAGUAGGAAUUGGGAAUGUACUUCACGUGUGCUGAGAGGCACUUGGAACAUCAGAGUGCUGUGUCCUAAUACUCUGAGUAUUUCAACCGCAUGAAUAGGCCACACUGAAUUUAACUUUCAGAAAAGUCAUUUGCGGGCAUACAUGCUUUUCCUGAAAUAGGUGUGUUUGUGCACACUGGCUGGUAAUAGCACACAUGGUGCAAACACAUUUUGCAAUCACACUGCACAUUACAGAUUACUCACCCAUAACCCCUUACUGCUCAUCUCCGAGUAUCAUUUUUGAAGGCAGGGAGAUGCGGAUACAGGCGCAAGACUUGUGGAUCAGGGGUUGUAUGUGUACAUCCAUCCAUUCUGUAACUAAAGGCACACAGCACUGUUAAGUCAGCGGCAAUACUCGUCCUGACCUGAACGGCAGCAGCCGUGGGUACUGCUCUCAAACUGCCUCUUAUGUUGUGAUGCACUUUCAGUUUUGAUAACUGUUUUAUGACUUGUAUUUUCAUUUUUAUUUUUUUUAAUGUUGAGCUAACUGCUAGGAUGUGCUGUCUUCGCAAUGCUUAGUUGCCCAGCAAUUACAGAUAUACUUCAAAAGGAAGCAGAAGAAUAAUAAACCGUGGAAUCCCAAAUCAGAUUAAUGUAAUGUGCAUUUCUAGAUCACGAUUAGUAACAAGAUAACAUGGUGUCAUGGUAACACUUGAAACUUAACCACAAGUUCCUAAAAUAAAGCAAUGACAUAUGUAUAAGUUUCUAUCCAUUUGCAUAC